GUGCAUAGUAGAAUAUGUAUUUAUUGAUACAUGUAUUUGUUAACCGAAAAAAAAAAAUAGUCAGUCAAUUUGUGAGUACUGUAUAGAUAAUAAAUAAAAAUGUUUCUGUUUGUAUAUGCCUGUCCCAAGUCAGGAGCCUGUAAUUCAGUAAUUGUUGUUUGUUUAUGGGUUACAUAUUUGUUUUUCUUUAAUUUUUCGCACAGAAAUUAGGCUGUUAGUUUUCUUGUUGACAUUUUCAUUUCAAGGGCUUUUAUAUAUCUGACUAUGAGGUAUUGGCUUAAUUUAUUGUUGAAGGCCAUACCGUGACCUAUAGUUGUUAAUUUCUGUGUCAUUUGGUCUCUAACCGUCUUUUGUGCAGAGUUGUCCUAUUGGCAAUCAUACCAC
rnacentral:lncRNA from 1 species